rnacentral:rRNA from 1 species
GACGAACGCUGGCGGCGUGCUUAACACAUGCAAGUCGAACGGAAAGGCCCUGCUUUUGUGGGGUGCUCGAGUGGCGAACGGGUGAGUAACACGUGAGUAACCUGCCCUUGACUUUGGGAUAACUUCAGGAAACUGGGGCUAAUACCGGAUAGGAGCUCCUGCUGCAUGGUGGGGGUUGGAAAGUUUCGGCGGUUGGGGAUGGACUCGCGGCUUAUCAGCUUGUUGGUGGGGUAGUGGCUUACCAAGGCUUUGACGGGUAGCCGGCCUGAGAGGGUGACCGGCCACAUUGGGACUGGGAUACGGCCCAGACGCCAACGGGAGGAAGCGGGGGGGAAUAUUGCACAAUGGGCGGAGGCCGGAGGCAGCAACGCCGGGUGCGGGAGGACGGCCUUCGGGUGGUAAACCGCUUUCGCCUGUGACGAGGCGUGAGUGACGGAAAUGGGUAAAGAAGCACCGGCUAACUACGG